AGCAGCCGCGCGGGAAUACGAGGGGGGCUAGCGUUGUUCGGAAUUACUGGGCGUAAAGCGCACGUAGGCGGCUUUGUAAGUUAGAGGUGAAAGCCUGGAGCUCAACUCCAGAAUUGCCUUUAAGACUGCAUCGCUUGAAUCGCGGAGAGGUGAGUGGAAUUCCGAGUGUAGAGGUGAAAUUCGUAGAUAUUCGGAAGAACACCAGUGGCGAAGGCGGCUCACUGGACGCGUAUUGACGCUGAGGUGCGAAAGCGUGGGGAGCAAACAGGAUUAGAUACCCGGGUAGUCCCUGUCUCUUAUACA
rnacentral:rRNA from 1 species